UACAGAGGUCUCAAGCGUUGUUCGGAUUCAUUGGGCGUAAAGGGUGCGUAGGUGGCGCGCUAAGUCAGGUGUGAAAUUUCGGAGCUUAACUCCGAAACUGCAUUUGAUACUGGCGUGCUUGAGGACUGGAGAGGAGACUGGAAUUCAUGGUGUAGCAGUGAAAUGCGUAGAGAUCAUGAGGAAGACCAGUGGCGAAGGCGGGUCUCUGGGACGGUACUGACGCUGAGACGCGAAAGCGUGGGGAGCGAACAGG
rnacentral:rRNA from 1 species